rnacentral:rRNA from 1 species
CAAGUCGAGCGGUAACAGAGAGUAGCUUGCUACUCUGCUGACGAGCGGCGGACGGGUGAGUAAUGCUUGGGAAUAUGCCUUAUGGUGGGGGACAACAGUUGGAAACGACUGCUAAUACCGCAUGAUGUCUACGGACCAAAGUGGGGGACCUUCGGGCCUCACGCCAUAAGAUUAGCCCAAGUGGGAUUAGCUAGUUGGUGAGGUAAUGGCUCACCAAGGCGACGAUCCCUAGCUGGUUUGAGAGGAUGAUCAGCCACACUGGGACUGAGACACGGCCCAGACUCCUACGGGAGGCAGCAGUGGGGAAUAUUGCACAAUGGGCGCAAGCCUGAUGCAGCCAUGCCGCGUGUGUGAAGAAGGCCUUCGGGUUGUAAAGCACUUUCAGUAAGGAGGAAAGGUUAAGUGUUAAUAGCACUUAGCUGUGACGUUACUUACAGAAGAAGCACCGGCUAACUCCGUGCCAGC